AUUGAACGCUGGCGGCAGGCCUAACACAUGCGAGUCGAGCGGAUGAAGGGAGCUUGCUCCUGGAUUCAGCGGCGGACGGGUGAGUAAUGCCUAGGAAUCUGCCUGGUAGUGGGGGAUAACGUCCGGAAACGGGCGCUAAUACCGCAUACGUCCUGAGGGAGAAAGUGGGGGAUCUCCGGACCUCACGCUAUCAGAUGAGCCUAGGUCGGAUUAGCUAGUUGGUGGGGUAAAGGCCUACCAAGGCGACGAUCCGUAACUGGUCUGAGAGGAUGAUCAGUCACACUGGAACUGAGACACGGUCCAGACUCCUACGGGAGGCAGCAGUGGGGAAUAUUGGACAAUGGGCGAAAGCCUGAUCCAGCCAUGCCGCGUGUGUGAAGAAGGUCUUCGGAUUGUAAAGCACUUUAAGUUGGGAGGAAGGGCAGUAAGUUAAUACCUUGCUGUUUUGACGUUACCAACAGAAUAAGCACCGGCUAACUUCGUG
rnacentral:rRNA from 1 species